UAAGCAUAUCAAUAAGCGGAGGAAAAGAAACCAACAGGGAUUGCCUCAGUAACUGCGAGUGAAGCGGCAAAAGCUCAAAUUUGAAAUCUGGCGUCUUUGGCGUCCGAAUUGUAAUUUGGAGAGGCAUCUUCGGAGAUGGCACCGUCCUAAGUUCCUUGGAACAGGACGUCACAGAGGGUGAGAAUCCCGUACCAGGAUGGCUGUCCGUCUCCAUGUGAAGAGUCUUCGACGAGUCGAGUUGUUUGGGAAUGCAGCUCAAAAUGGGUGGUAAAUUUCAUCUAAAGCUAAAUAUUGGCGAGAGACCGAUAGCGCACAAGUAGAGUGAUCGAAAGAUGAAAAGCACUUUGAAAAGAGAGUUAAAAAGUACGUGAAAUUGUUGAAAGGGAAGCGCUUGAGACCAGACUCAAUCUUUGGUGAUCAGCUGUGCUUCUGUGCAGUGCACUUGCCAUGGAUUGGGCCAGCAUCGGUUCCGACGGUGGGAUAAAAGGUGGAGGAAUGUAGCUUCCUUCGGGGAGUGUUAUAGCCUCCAUCACAAUGCCAUCAGUUGGGACCGAGGACCGCGCUUCGGCUAGGAUGCUGGCGUAAUGGUCUUAAGCGACCCGUCUUGAAACACGGACCAAGGAGUCUAACAUCUAUGCGAGUGUUCGGGUGGAAAACCCUUGCGCGUAAUGAAAGUGAACGGAGGUGGGAACCCGUAAGGGUGCACCAUCGACCGAUCCUGAUGUCUUCGGAAGGAUUUGAGUAAGAGCAUAGCUGUUGGGACCCGAAAGAUGGUGAACUAUGCCUGAAUAGGGUGAAGCCAGAGGAAACUCUGGUGGAGGCUCGCAGCGGUUCUGACGUGCAAAUCGAUCGUCAAAUUUGGGUAUAGGGGCGAAAGACUAAUCGA
rnacentral:rRNA from 1 species